UUCUUAUCCAGAGUGGUGGAGGGACUGGCCCAAAGAAACCCGGCAACCCAAGAGCUAAAUAGCUUUUAUGGUGCUAAAUCCAGCAGGUGAACAAACCUGAUAGAUAAGAG
rnacentral:ncRNA from 2 species